GUCUGCACUUGUCGGGGAAGGGUGAGAACCUUCGACUAAGGUUCGAUUCGAGCGAAAGCGAGAGAACGUUGCCAACGGCAACGGCCCGUAGGGUGAGGAGCG
rnacentral:sRNA from 1 species